AUUGAACGCUGGCGGCAUGCCUUACACAUGCAAGUCGAACGGUAACGGGCCUUCGGGUGCCGACGAGUGGCGAACGGGUGAGUAAUGCAUCGGAACGUACCUUUCAGUGGGGGAUAACGUAGCGAAAGUUACGCUAAUACCGCAUAUUCUGUGAGCAGGAAAGCAGGGGAUCGCAAGACCUUGCGCUGAUUGAGCGGCCGAUGUCAGAUUAGCUAGUUGGUGAGGUAAAGGCUCACCAAGGCGACGAUCUGUAGCGGGUCUGAGAGGAUGAUCCGCCACACUGGAACUGAGACACGGUCCAGACUCCUACGGGAGGCAGCAGUGGGGAAUUUUGGACAAUGGGGGCAACCCUGAUCCAGCCAUGCCGCGUGAGUGAAGAAGGCCUUCGGGUUGUAAAGCUCUUUCGGCCGGGAAGAAAUCGCAUGGGCUAAUACCCUGUGCGGAUGACGGUACCGGCAUAAGAAGCACCGGCUAACUACGUGCCAGCACGG
rnacentral:rRNA from 1 species